CAGGCGCGAAACCUUUACAAUGCACGCAAGUGUGAUAAGGGAAUCCUCAGUGCUCAUGCAAUGCAUGGGCUUUUGCUAAGCGUAAAUAGCUUGGCGAAUAAGUGGUGGGUAAGACUGGUGCCAGCCGCCGCGGUAACACCAGCGCCACGAGUGGCAACCACGUUUAUUGGGCCUAAAGCGUCCGUAGCCGGUUAGGUAAAUCUCUUGUGAAAUCGUCAUGCUUAACSUGACGGCGUGCUCGAGACACUGCCCAACUUGAGACCGGGAGGAGUCAGAGGUAUUCCUGAGGGAGCGGUAAAAUGUGAUAAUCUCAGGAGGAUCACCUAUGGCGAAGGCAUCUGACCAGAACGGAUCUGACGGUGAGGGACGAAGGCUAGGGGAGCGAUCCGGAUUAGAUACCCGAGUAGUCCUAGCAGUAAACGCUGCGAGCAAGAUGUUGCGCUUCUCAUGAGGAUGCGCAGUGUCGAAGAGAAGUCAUUAAGCUCGCCGCCUGGGAAGUACGGUCGCAAGACUGAAACUUUAAGGAAUUGG
rnacentral:rRNA from 1 species